AGUGAACGCUGGCGGUAGGCCUAACACAUGCAAGUCGAACGGCAGCACAGUAAGAGCUUGCUCUUACGGGUGGCGAGUGGCGGACGGGUGAGGAAUACAUCGGAAUCUACUUUUUCGUGGGGGAUAACGUAGGGAAACUUACGCUAAUACCGCAUACGACCUACGGGUGAAAGCAGGGGAUCUUCGGACCUUGCGCGAUUGAAUGAGCCGAUGUCGGAUUAGCUAGUUGGCGGGGUAAAGGCCCACCAAGGCGACGAUCCGUAGCUGGUCUGAGAGGAUGAUCGGCCACACUGGAACUGAGACACGGUCCAGACUCCUACGAGAGGCAGCAGUGGGGAAUAUUGGGCAAUGGGCGCAAGCCUGAUCCAGCCAUACCGCGUGGGAGAAGAAGGCCUUCGGGUUGUAAAGCCCUUUUGUUGGGAAAGAAAAGCAGCAGGUUAAUACCCCGCUGUUCUGACGGUACCCAAAGAAUAAGCACCGGCUAACUUCGUG
rnacentral:rRNA from 1 species